CUCAUCACCAUUCUAGAUUUCUCUAAGAAGAUGACUUAGAAUCAAUUAAUAGGAUUAUCUAGAAUCAUCAACUUUUGUGUAGGAGAAUUGUCACCAACUUACCUCUAUAAAUAGGGGAUGGUGUAUGGUGAAAGGUGUGUGGAGAGUGAGAUCAGAUAGAAUAAGUAGAGAAAGAGAGACAUAGUGAGGUAAUCUAGUGUGUUAAUAAGGAGCAUCUUCGUAUAAUCAAAGCGAGUCAAAAAAAAGUGUAAAAUUGUAUUUUAUCAAUAAAAAUUAUUUUAUUUGAGAGUUUAAACUCUACAUCGCCUGAAACAUCUUGGUAAUCUUAGUAAUUAACAUUAGCUUAAAUUUUUAUUUUUCCGUCUGAUUUCGUGGGUUUAUUCUAGUUGUUUGCUCUUUGUAUAUUGUAUUUUCCGAUUUUCCAUCGUUUACAGUAAUACGAGGGAUAAAUUUGGUGGUGAGCUAAUUUUGAUUGGUUAUUGAGCUAUAGUACUUUGCCGUGAUUUCCCCUUUCUAUUCAUUGCAUCUGGUUUAAGGAGAUUUUUUCAGCUGUAACUUGAAGGGUUUAUACGCUUGGAUCAGGAGAAGGUACUUUCUUAAUCAAAUUAAUUUAAUUUGUUUUUGUUUUUGAAUCAAUUUAUGUUUUGUAAAUGUUUCAUAUCAGAAUUAUGUUAUAUCUUCUAUUUGGAUACGUAGGCGGGGAAAUUUUUCUUUUUUAUUUGUUUAUUUCUUCACUUUCUGCUUCACGGGCUUUGUAAAACUGUUCACUGGAUCUCUCUGUGAUGUAUUUGAUCGACAUCAUCUUAAUUAUGGGUGCUCAUUCAUUUCUUGAAUGUUAUGUCAGUUUAGAAUUAUUAGGCUUUAUUCAUUAUCACAUUAAGCUUGGAAAUUAAAAGACAUAAUAAGCAGGGAACAUUUAACCAAAAAUGAAAUAAGGGGAGCAGUGAGCUGAGUGAGGUGAUAUACACAAAUAACCGAGUUACAUAGAAAUGAAUCUAUUUUAAGUUUCUAUCAUAUGAGCCUUUACACAACCAAAGAAAAUAGGUGUGAAAGGGCAUGAUUUAAUAAGAAUUCCUUCGGAUGGCGUGCCCGGUGCUUCAGUCCCAGUUUAUACGUAAGUUAACUUCCUUUUUUUUUUUUUUUUGGGUGGGGGAUUUAUGAGUAUUUUCAAGUCAUAAACUGGCCAUUUCUCGUGCUCAUACAUUCCUCCUAUCUAGUGGUAUGUCAAUGCUGGAGUGGAGGUCAGUUGAAUGUAUUAUAUUCCUAUCUACUGUUCCACAUAUUUUUUCCUGCUUUGUUUGUGUUAUUUUGGAAGUGAUACUUUUCAUAAUCGUAAGUGCUUAGUUGCUUCCAUCUCUGCUGGUGCAGCCCUUCUCUGCCAUUCUUGUUCCUGUAUAUGGAAGUUUGUGUUCUUCAUAAUAUCAAGGGAUAUAAUCUCACAACAAAUAAAGAUGAAAACAUAGACCAACUUAUAAGGUCUUGAGCUACUUCUCUUAAGAAGAUUGACCUUUUAAAAUGGAACUCCAAGUCUUAACAUAAUAUCAGAGCCCAUUAAGUUUCAACGAGCAAUUCGAUUCGAUUAAGACUCAAUAAAUGAGCAUUCGGAUUUCAAGAUUGGUCUGCUCAAACGAGCCACUAUCUUGCGAGGCACAUCAAGGGAUAUAAUUCCAUAUCAAAUAAAGAUAAAACAUACCAACUUAUAAGGUGGGCUACUCCUUUUAAGAAGGUUGACCUUUUAAGAUCGAAUUUCAGGUCUUAACACAUAAUACACCAGGUCCGCAGGAUAUAACCAGCAUUAGCAAAUCGACUGAUCCUCCUGAUUCAGCUCAUAACUGUGCAAGUGAUGUUUCUGUCAAUGAUCUGGAAUCAUGUUUGAUUGAGUUUCUAAGCACUGAGGAUGUGGCAAUUUCAAGUUGUGGCUUCACCGCUUUGCUCCAACUCCUGAGAAAUAUGUUAUAGGCAAUGUGGCGAGCAUAGAUGAAUAUAAGGACCCAGAUAUAAGGGAGGUGAGCAUUCCAUCUUCUGAGAAUUGCCUUAGCAACAAUUCCACCUCUUGGUGAGCAUAAAUUUUCCACCAUCGAAUUAGUGGACAGGAAAGAAAAGCAUGGUGAUUAUAUAACUCUGAAAGUCUCUUUGCCAAAUGGCCAUGCUAAAUCUGUUGAUCAGUCUUAUUCACAGUCCAUUUUUUUGCCUGUAAGUUUACUUAGACUUCUUGAUAGCUAGCUUUUGUCUCUAUUUUUCACCAACAUACGAUCUUUCUCAUGUCAAUGGGGAAUUGUAGUGAAAAACAGAUGCUGUUUUUGGUUCAAGACAGUUAAAGUAUUUUACCUAUAGCUGUCUGGUUGGGAACUGGAAUUGUACUAAUACUGCUAUGAUCAUGUUAAAUUACUGGAAAGUAGGAAUGAUUUUUUAUGCCACGUAGUUGCUUUACCACGAGGUAUGUGUCAAUUGUGCUCCUGUGUGUGCGAUUUUAUAUUCCUUGUUUGGCCCCGAUUUCUCGAGCUCAUUUUCAAUUACAUAUUUUUCCAAUAAAAUAAUUUUACUAGUAAACCCGUACGUUUUUCCUAGUUUUUAACCCCUAAUUCUCCAAAAGAAAUUACUUCUCACAAAAUCUAUUCUCAAAAAAUCUCUACCAAACAUGGGCUUAAUUUCUUCUAUAUUAUAUUCUAGCUUUAUCUUUGCUUAUAAUUCUGUUCUUUUGGUUUUCGAAAAUAUAAGCUAUCUUCUUGAUGAUCUGUAUGCAAUUUAUAUCAGAGACAAUAAUUCUAGAGGAUGCAGGCCAGUGAACCUUUUGCCCAUCCGUUUUGAAUUUUUUGAUGUCCAACCUCUGUUGUAUUUCAACAGUGCGAUAUGUUCGUUUCUUUGUUUUCCCAUUAUUCUCUUCUUUAAUUGCCUAUUUAGUAACUGGGGCGGUGCCUCGAAAAAAGUUUCAGUAAAGUAGUAGUGCAUUCCAAAUAGUUAUGUUUCUGAUAAGUUCUAGUAUGGUAUACGACAGUUCAGUUUUGGGCAAAUUCAUAAUACCACUCACUCCAAUUUUUCUCCUUGAUGUCUAAUCUUCUCAGAGGCUCCUUUGAAGCUUGUAUCUGCCAUGAAAGGUAGCCAUGAAAAGCAGGGGAUACCAGUGACAUGGGAAUGAUGGGACCUUGAUGUACACGAUCCAGUCCCAACAGCAAUGUUACAUGUUUCAUUGAACAAGAAUCAUCGCCUAUCAUUAGUGAUAUCAAGAGGCACGGGAAGAGCAAGCACAAGGGUGGUGGCAAAUCUUCACGGGGCAGCAAGGGUAAAGACCAGAAGCAAGGUAGGAAGUACAGUGGAAGUUCUAAUAGGUUCGAGUUUCUGGAUAAAAAUGGCCAAAUGGUUGGUUUCUGUGAGCCUCAGGCGAUCACUGUCGAUUUUGAUGUAGGCAGCCAAGACUUGUUAUGUGGAACUAUUUUUCUGAAGAAAUCUGACCCAAAUUUGCACUAUUCGGUUGCAGAGGUUACAUGAAGCCAUGUCCAAGUGGUGUGCUUUUGUUUUAUUCCAACGAUGUUGUGAUUAAUCAAUAUGGUAGCUUGGUUUGUUAAUUGGGAAACUUCUUAGAGACCCAAGCAAAUGACCUCUUUGUUCUGUUUGAUAAGGGCAUUUUAACUUCAAUUUUAUGAUUAGUAUAUUAGUUUUCAUUUGGAUUGCCAGUUCAGGAUCUAUUUGCGUGAUUCGGGUUGGAUAUUGCACUUGCUUUUUGAGCUUACUCUUGAUAUAAAAUAAUUUGUAA
rnacentral:lncRNA from 1 species